GGCAACAUGGCCGAGUGGUCUAAGGCGCUGGAAUUAGGAUAGAUAUCCAUCCAGUCCGAAAGGGCGUGGGUUCGAACCCCACUGUUGUCA